UGGCCCCCUUCUCUCUCCCCUUCUGCUUUGAAAUUUCUCCUAUUAGCAACUUGAAGGAAAAGUAGAAACAUCACGACAGUGAGGAGAGAGAGAGGAAAGGAUCCAUCCCCCAAAGAGAUAUUGAUCGAGAAGCCAGAGAGGGAAGACGAAUGGAAAAGAAGACUGUGCUUUGUCCCCACUUCAAGAUGAACUCCAGCUGUCAUCCCAAUGGCCUUGGAAAUAAAUGCCCACAUCUUACCUAAACUGGUGAUCAAAAAAUAUUCAGAGGAUUAGCAACAUCAGGACCUGCACGGAGGAAGGCAUGGAGGCUGGGCAGAUCUGCGUUCUGUGGGGCUUGAAGCUUCCAUAACUCGGAAGGAGGAUGUACCCGAAAGAGUAAGAAUACAAAAUUCCAAACACAGCAUCGCUCUGGCCUGGACAAAUUUGAGGCCCUGAAAUGUCAGCUAAGCUUCCUUAGCUUCACAGUAAAUCUGCUCUAUCUGGUAAAGGAUGUGAAAGAGGAGGUUGAAGCCAAUCACAACAUGAAGUUUUCGCUUUUCUAGGCCACAGGGCUGCUUUAUUAGCUGAAAUAAAUAUGCAGCAUUGGUCCCUCACGGAAAACAUCCCAUAGCCUCUGCCCUUCCUGACCUUGGAUUAUGCUGAGCUGCAGUUCAAGAUGAAUGACGUUUUGUGGCUUAUAUCCACAUCAGAUCCAGCAAGAUUACCUCAGUUCUGGGAGGGGAGUGGGUGGAUACUAUAGCAUUUCAUCUUGUCAGGUGCCUUUCUGUGACCUCUCAAGUAUUUAUAAGGGUGAAAUCUGUGCUAAAUGGAUUUGGAAGGUGAAGAAGGCAAGAAAAGACCUGUAGAAGUAUCAGAAUAUAAGGAGCGACAUUUAGGAAUAUGCACGAAAUGAACUGGGAUAAAGUAUUUUCAGGCAGACUUAAUUCCUCUUUCUGAUUGUUUAUAUGUGUCAUAUGUUUUAAAAAAUAACAGCAAUUGGUAGAGAUACCUUUUUUCUCUCAGUUGCCCCAGUCACUUGGUUCAUGUUUCACAAUUAGCUUUAAAAAAAUAAAUAAUAUUAUCCGAGUGCCUAAUAUUUGCAUGGUAUUCUAUAAACGACUGACAUAAAG
rnacentral:lncRNA from 1 species